GUUUGGCCCUGUAACUACUGGAUGCAAAAUGGACAAAUUCUGAAUUUAUGAAAACACAAAACUAAAAAUCAACAUUCUUUGAAGGAAGAUAACUGAGUCCAGAGUUUCUAUAAUGUACUAUCCACAAUGUUCUGUAUUAAAUAGAACAAUAAAAGACACUCAAAUAAACAGGAAAUUGUGACACAUAAUGAGACCUAAUGGAUGCUAGAAUGGACUUAUGAUAAUCCAUAUAUUGAAAUUAGCAGUCAAGGACUUUGAAAUAAUUACUAUAACAGAAAUUAUUAUCAGAACAAUAUUAGAAUAAUUCUGUUCUAAUUAUUAUUGGAACAGAAAGGUGAACAGAGAGGAACACUUGGUAGGUGUGUUAGUCAACUCUCAGUUACUGUGACACAAUACCCGAGAAAAUCAACUUAGAGGGAGGAAGAUUUAUUUUGGCUUCUGGGUUCAGAGAUUUUGGUGCGUGGUCAGCUGGUACCAUUGUUUCCAGACCUGUGGAGAAGUACUGCAUCAUGGCAGAAAGGUGGGGUGAAGAAAAGCUGGGAAGCACAGAGAUAAUGUGAGUAAGGGGUCAAGGACAAGAUAUCUCUUCCAGACAUAGUACCAGUGAGCAUAAGGAAUACUUUU
rnacentral:lncRNA from 1 species